rnacentral:rRNA from 1 species
AGAGUUUGAUCCUGGCUCAGGAUGAACGCUGGCGGCGUGCUUAACACAUGCAAGUCGAACGAAGAGAAUUAUCGGAAGUUUUCGGACGGAAGAUAAUAAUCUUAGUGGCGGACGGGUGAGUAACGUGUGGGCAACCUACCUUAUACUGGGGAAUAAUCACUGGAAACGGUGACUAAUACCGCAUAAUGUCUUUGACAGGCAUCUGUUAAAGAAGAAAGGAGCAAUCCGGUAAAAGAUGGGCCCGCAUCUGAUUAGCUAGUUGGUGAGAUAAUAGCCCACCAAGGCAUCGAUCAGUAGCCGACCUGAGAGGGUGAUCGGCCACAUUGGGACUGAGACACGGCCCAAACUCCUACGGGAGGCAGCAGUGGGGAAUAUUGCACAAUGGGGGAAACCCUGAUGCAGCAACGCCGCGUGAAGGAAGAAGUAUCUCGGUAUGUAAACUUCUAUCAGCAGGGAAGAAAAUGACGGUACCUGACUAAGAAGCCCCGGCUAACUACGUGCCAGCAGCCGCGGUAAUACGUAGGGGGCAAGCGUUAUCCGGAAUUACUGGGUGUAAAGGGAGCGUAGGCGGCAUGGUAAGCCAGAUGUGAAAGCCCGGAGCUUAACUCCGAGGAUUGCAUUUGGAACUAUCAAGCUAGAGUACAGGAGAGGAAAGCGGAAUUCCUAGUGUAGCGGUGAAAUGCGUAGAUAUUAGGAAGAACACCAGUGGCGAAGGCGGCUUUCUGGACUGAAACUGACGCUGAGGCUCGAAAGCGUGGGGAGCGAACAGGAUUAGAUACCCUGGUAGUCCACGCCGUAAACGAUGAGUGCUAGGUGUCGGGGAGGAAUCCUCGGUGCCGCAGCAAACGCAAUAAGCACUCCACCUGGGGAGUACGAUCGCAAGAUUGAAACUCAAAGGAAUUGACGGGGGCCCGCACAAGCGGUGGAGCAUGUGGUUUAAUUCGAAGCAACGCGAAGAACCU